AUUGAACGCUGGCGGCAUGCUUUACACAUGCAAGUCGAACGGUAACAGGUUAAGCUGACGAGUGGCGAACGGGCGAGUAAUGCAUCGGAACGUGCCCGGCCGUGGGGGAUAACGCAGCGAAAGUUGCGCUAAUACCGCAUACGAUCUGAGGAUGAAAGCGGGGGACCGUAAGGCCUCGCGCGAUCGGAGCGGCCGAUGUCAGAUGAGGUAGUUGGUGGGGUAAAGGCUCACCAAGCCAACGAUCUGUAGCUGGUCUGGGAGGACGACCAGCCACACUGGGACUGAGACACGGCCCAGACUCCUACGGGAGGCAGCAGUGGGGAAUUUUGGACAAUGGGCGAAAGCCUGAUCCAGCAAUGCCGCGUGCAGGAAGAAGGCCUUCGGGUUGUAAACUGCUUUUGUACGGAGCGAAAAGGUCUCCUCUAAUACAGGGGGCUCAUGACGGUACCGUAAGAAUAAGCACCGGCUAACUACGUGCCAGCAGCCGCAGUAA
rnacentral:rRNA from 1 species